AGCGGUAAGUUUUAUACAACGGGGGAGGCCAUUUUCAUCCAGCCAUGCGGCGUGAAUGAAGACGUCCGUCUGGAAAGCAAAUUUCUUUUGUAGGGGAAGAAAUGGCAGUUUUCGACCUGUCUUAGACGGUCCCAUCAGAAUAAGCCCCGGCUAAUUUCGUGCCAGCAGCCGCGGUAAUACGUAGGGUGCGAGCGUUUUCUGGAAUUACUGGGUUUAAAGGGUAGGUAGGCGGCUUGAUAAGUACGGUGUGAAAUUCCCUGGCUUAACUAUGAAAGUGCAUUGGAUACUGUCAAGCUAGAGUUAAGUAAAGGCAGGUGGAAUUUCCGGUGUAGCGGUGAAAUGCAUAGAUACUUUGAGGAACCUCAAUUGCGAAGGCAGGUUCCUGGGCUUUAACUGACGCUGAUGUCCGAAAGCGUGGGUAGCAAACCGGAUUAGAUACCCUGGUAGUCCCCCCCGUAAACGAUGAUUACUCGGUGUAUGUGUCUUAUAGA
rnacentral:rRNA from 1 species